UGCGUAGGCGGAAUAUUAAGUCAGUGGUGAAAUCCUGCGGCUCAACCGUAGAACUGCCAUUGAUACUGAUAUUCUUGAAUAUAGUUGAGGUAAGCGGAAUGUGUAAUGUAGCGGUGAAAUGCUUAGAUAUUACACAGAACACCGAUUGCGAAGGCAGCUUGCUAAACUAUUAUUGACGCUGAUGCACGAAAGCGUGGGGAGCGAACAGGAUUAGAUACCCUGGUAGUC
rnacentral:rRNA from 1 species